UUCUCUUUGCAUUUGUUAGUACGUCGAUCUAUUACUACAUCCAGUAUCUUUGACAUAAGGACUAAGAUAAAUCAGGGUACAGAGGAAAAAAUACGCAUAUACAUGUGAUUUUCUCAACGUCACAUGAGAGACGGCAAUUGAAACCAUAUGAACAAGUAAGGCUCAGAACUGGAAUAGGUAAAAACAAACGUACCACACAAAAUUGUAAUGCACUGAUAGCGAGUUGUUCCUAUAAAAAAUAGGAUGAUAUUCUCAACGCAAAGGUUAACUUGGAAUAUAAUGCAUCCAAUCAGCAAAACUGUAUCAUAUUUGCACUUUGUCAGCAUUCAUUUUUUAUAGUUAAAAUGAAGUACCUCUGGAAGAUCUUAAGUCCAUCUGCUGGCCAUUAGCGUGUUGUUUUGUCCCUAUAAAAAAUAAGAUGAUAUUCUCAAUGCAAAGGUCAACUUGGAAUAUAAUGUAUCGAAUCAGAAAAACGAUAUCAAAUUUGCACUUUGUCAGCAGUCUUCAAGAGGCAACUGUUACAUGGAUGCACUUCACAUAAUUCAAACAAGCUACGGUUUCUACUUGCUAAUACAAAAAAAUUAAAGAAAUUGAAGGUGGGAGGAGAGCAAGUUGAAGAAAUGUUAAUCCUGUGGAUGAAACUGAAUAGUUAGAGAGACCUACCAAGGCAUUCCUGAGUAAAUAACUUUGUUGCUCACAUUCAUAUCAUCUCUAUCCUGAGUAGUCUACAAAAGUGUAGGCUCAGAUGCAGUUAGAAGAAAACGAUUAUAAGUAUUUCCAAACCAGAAAGCCGAUGUAAUAUCUUGUAAGAAAAAUAUAUUAAAACCACGCCCGAUUUAACCUUCAUGAUAUUUUUUAUCAAACUAUCAAAGAUACAACAACAAAUAAGUACUCCCUCCGUUCCAAAAUUAUUGUCGUGGUUUUAGCUCAAGUAGAAAUCAUUAAAACACAAUUGGUAGAUCAAAUUUUUAAAUGGUGAACCAACCACCAAUCAUAUUUGUAUUUUCCCAUUUUUAUGCUCUGUAGCGUACAUAUAUGUU
rnacentral:lncRNA from 1 species